rnacentral:rRNA from 1 species
UGCCUUCGAAUAAGAGGAAGCAAUUCUCUCUGAAUCUGCGAACGGCUCCGCAAACCAGUUGUAAACUAUAGCAAGCAAGCCCGGGUCCCUCGGGGCUCGGGCAACACGGAUAACCCUGGUAAUUCUGAGGCUAAUACGAGAAAGUACUACCUGGUCAGCCGGGCAACCGGUUGGUCGGGAUGUGUGCGAUCUUCCGCUGAAUUUUUACCGGGAAUGGGCGCACGCUUCGACCGCGCUAAACACGGAUGGGUACUUCGGUGCCUGCCCGAGCGGCUCUUGCUGUGUGCUUCUGACCUAUCAACUAGACGGCAGCGUAACGGACAUGCUAUGGUUACAACGGGUACAGAGGAUUAGGGUUCGAUCCUGGAGAGUGGGCCUGAGAGAUUGCUCAUACUUCUAAGGAAGGCAGCAGGCGCGCAACGUUCCCCUUGUGCAAUGCAUGAGGGCGUUAGGGGACAUAUGAAUGCCUGCCCUAUGGGUGGGCAAUUCAAAUGG